CCGAGUUUACAACUCCCAAACCCCUGUGAACAUACCUUUAUGUUGCCUCGGCGGAUCAGCCCGCGCCCCCGUAAAACGGGACGGCCCGCCGCAGGAAACCCUAAACUCUGUUUUUAGUGGAACUUCUGAGUAUAAAAAAACAAAUAAAUCA
rnacentral:misc_RNA from 1 species